rnacentral:rRNA from 1 species
GAUGAACGCUGGCGGCGUGCUUAACACAUGCAAGUCGAACGGAAAGGCUCCUGCUUGCCGGGGUACUCGAGUGGCGAACGGGUGAGUAACACGUGGGUGAUCUGCCCUGCACUUCGGGAUAAGCCUGGGAAACUGGGUCUAAUACCGGAUAGGACGAUGGUUUGGAUGCCAUUGUGGAAAGUUUUUCGGUGUGGGAUGAGCUCGCGGCCUAUCAGCUUGUUGGUGGGGUAAUGGCCUACCAAGGCGUCGACGGGUAGCCGGCCUGAGAGGGUGUACGGCCACAUUGGGACUGAGAAACGGCCCAGACUCCUACGGGAGGCAGCAGUGGGGAAUAUUGCACAAUGGGCGCAAGCCUGAUGCAGCGACGCCGCGUGGGGGAUGACGGCCUUCGGGUUGUAAACUCCUUUCGCUAGGGACGAAGCGCAAGUGACGGUACCUGGAGAAGAAGCACCGGCUAACUACGUG